AUUGAACGCUGGCGGCAGGCCUAACACAUGCAAGUCGAACGUGUGGCGGACGGGUGAGCAAUGUCUGGGAAACCGCCCGAUGGAGGGGGAUAACUACUGGAAACGGUCGCUAAUACCGUAUCCCAGUGGUUGCGCCCAGAUGGGAUUAGCUAGUAGGGGGGGUAACGGCUCACCUAGGAGACGACCCCUAGCUGGUCUGAGGGGAUGACCAUCCACAGUGGGACUGAGACACGGUCCAGACUCCUACGGGAGGCAGCAGUGGGGAAUAUUGCACAAUGGGCGCAAGCCUGAUGCAGCCAUGCCGCGUGUAUGAAGAAGGCCUUCGGGUUGUAAAGUACUUUCAGCGAGGAGGCGUUACUCGCAGAAGAAGCACCGGCUAACUCCGUUCCAGCAGCCGCGGUAAUUC
rnacentral:rRNA from 1 species